GAUCAUGGCUCAGGACGAACGCUGGCGGCACGCUUAACACAUGCAAGUCGAACGAGAGAAGAGAAGCUUGCUUUUCUGAUCUAGUUGGCGGACGGGUGAGUAACACGUGAGCAAUCUGCCUUUCAGAGGGGGAUACCGAUUGGAAACGAUCGUUAAUACCGCAUAACAUAAUUGAACCGCAUGAUUUUGAUUUAUCAAAAGAUUUAUCGCUGAAAGAUGAGCUCGCGU
rnacentral:rRNA from 1 species